rnacentral:rRNA from 1 species
GGCAAGUCUGGUGCCAGCAGAGAGGGAAUUCCAGCUCCAAUAGCGUAUAUAAAGUUGUUGCAGUUAAAAAGCUCGUAGUUGAACUUCGGGAUCAAUUCCUCCGGUCAUGCCAAUGGUAUGUACUGGUCAUAUUGGUUCUCACCUUCUAAGGAACCAUGAUGUCAUUCAUUUGAUGUCUUGGGGAAUUAGGACUGUUACCUUGAAAAAAUUAGAGUGUUUAAAGCAGGC